AGUGAACGCUGGCGGUAGGCCUAACACAUGCAAGUCGAACGGCAGCACAGUAAGAGCUUGCUCUUACGGGUGGCGAGUGGCGGACGGGUGAGGAAUACAUCGGAAUCUACUUUUUCGUGGGGGAUAACGUAGGGAAACUUACGCUAAUACCGCAUACGACCUACGGGUGAAAGCAGGGGAUCUUCGGACCUUGCGCGAUUGAAUGAGCCGAUGUCGGAUUAGCUAGUUGGCGGGGUAAAGGCCCACCAAGGCGACGAUCCGUAGCUGGUCUGAGAGGAUGAUAAGCCACACUGGAACUGAGACACGGUCCAGACUCCUACGGGAGGCAGCAGUGGGGAAUAUUGGACAAUGGGCGCAAGCAUGAUCCAGCCAUCCCGCGUGGGUGAAGAAGGCGUUCGGGUUGUAAAGCCCUUUUGUUGGGAAAGAAAAGCAGCAGGUUAAUACCCAGCUGUUCUGACGGUACCCAAAGAAUAAGCACCGGCUAACUUCGUG
rnacentral:rRNA from 1 species